GGGCGGUUAGCUCAGCUGGGAGAGCGACUGGUUUACACCCAGUAGGUCGGCGGUUCGAUCCCGUCACCGCCCACCA
rnacentral:tRNA from 2 species